ensembl:rRNA 5S_rRNA 5S ribosomal RNA
ACCAGCAGCUUGCUCCCUGCAACUUUCACAUGGUUGCCCACUGAAGCUAAGCAGGGCUGCGCCUGGUAUGUACCUGAAUGGGAGACCACACUGGAAAGCUAGGUUGCUGCCGGAA